CCCUUAGAUGUUCUGGGCCGCACGCGCGCUACAAUGGUCUUCGCAAACGGAUGCAUUCUCGAAGGAGAAUGCCAAUCUUGGAAUCUAUGCCUUGGUCGGGACAGUUGCUUGCAAUUUUUCGACUCGAACCAGGAAUUCCUUGUAAUCGUGAUUCAUCACAUCACGAUGAAUACGUCCCUGCCCUUUGUACACACCGCCCGUCGCUCCUACCGAUCGAAGAGUUAAGUGAAUUGUUUUGAUCGAUAAGAUUUGACUAUGGUCAACUCUCGUUGUGAAAUUCUGUGAAUCUGACUGUUUAGAGGAAGGAAAAGUCGUAACA
rnacentral:rRNA from 1 species